UUAGCACCAACCACAUGCCAGGCCUCAUACUAGCUGACCAAUAUACACAGUGUUUGGCAAAAGCUAAGGUCAUGGUGUGCCAGUUCUGCUCUCUGCUGUAUUUGUGUCCUGUUUCCUUAUGUCGUUUGUAAUUUUUGAUCACAAGCACAUUUUCAACAAGGUUUGUUUACCAUGGGACCCCCAUGAGGCCUGAACUACAGAAGUGGUUUGGGGUUUGCCUCUGCCAGGUCCCUGGAGGUUUCAUUGGCCCUAGAUUAAUUUUUAUGUUAAACUUCUGUGGUAAAUUGUGUUUCUGGAGAAGACCACGACAAUAGACCCUCUCCCAAUAGCUCUUUUGUAAUGUGAUCUUGCCACUCCUCCAUCAAGAGGUGGAGUUUAUGAUCCCUUCCCCUGAUUCUGAGCUGCCUGUGACUGACUUUGAUUGACAGAAUGCGGCAGAAAUGACACUGCAUCACUUCCAAGACUGGCCUUAUGAGACUCCCAACUUUUGCUUUCACUACUUGGAGAGCUCCCUUUUGGAGGCCAGUCAUCGUGUUAGAAGCAUAACUAACUGGAGACCACUAUGUGGUGGAGAAGCUCAUGCUGUCUACAUAUAGAGGGAAAUGGCAUAUCAAUGAAUUAAACAUGAAAGUGAAGAUUUCUUGGCCCUCUCCAUCUUACUCAGCUCAUUGGAGCCACCAGCUGAAAGCAAGGGAGUGAAUGAGCCCAGUCCCGAGUGGAGCAGAAGGAGCCCAACCAGCGAAGCCCAGCCUGAAUUCCUGACUAACAGACUUAACAGGUGGAUUUUUGGGUUUGCUGAAGAAGAAAAAGAAGGAGAAGGAGAAGGAGAAGAAGAAGAGAAGUGUGAUUAACAAGAAAAAAACUUAUUUGGGGUCUAUGAACACCUUGAAUAUUUAACAGAAUAUCAGCUACUCAUCUGUAACCAUUCACUACAUAGCUAAACUUUUAGUAAUAAUGUAGGUAUUCUCUGGCCAAGAGAAAGAUAGGAUGUGUGUGUGUGUGUGUGUGUGUGUGUGUGUAUGUGUGUGUUUAACAG